rnacentral:tRNA from 1 species
ACCUGGCUGGCUCAGUCGGUAGAGCAUGUGACUCUUGAUCUCGGGUCGUGAGUUCAAGCUCAAGCCCCACGUA